rnacentral:lncRNA from 1 species
UGGCACCAUCUUGUAAUUAAUAAUUAGAUUAAUUUUCCCAAAAUAAAAUUUUGCCACUGCAUCUGAAUCAAACUAGGAUCUUUGGUCUAGCAUUGCAAUGCUUUAUCAUUUAAAUUUCUGUGCAUCCAGUAGAAUUCCAUUUUGGGAAGCUUAUGUAACAAUCAGAUUGGAAACUUGUUGGACUAGUGCAACAUUAAUGUUCUCAAGUGGAUUCUUGAAAACAGUUAUUGUUACAAUAAACUUUUUAAUUUUUCAAAAAUUAUUAUUAUUAUUAUUAUUGUAUUUGAUAAAUACAGUAUAGCAGUG